AUGCAGUCGAACGGUGAAGGAGAGCUUGCUCUUUGGAUCAGUGGCGAACGGGUGAGUAACACGUGAGCAAUCUGCCCUUGACUCUGGGAUAACUGCGGGAAACUGUAGCUAAUACCGGAUACGACCUGGAGAGGCAUCUUUUUGGGUGGAAAGAAUUUUGGUCAAGGAUGAGCUCGCGGCCUAUCAGCUUGUUGGUGAGGUAAUGGCUCACCAAGGCGACGACGGGUAGCCGGCCUGAGAGGGUGACCGGCCACACUGGGACUGAGACACGGCCCAGACUCCUACGGGAGGCAGCAGUGGGGAAUAUUGCACAAUGGGCGCAAGCCUGAUGCAGCAACGCCGCGUGAGGGACGAAGGCCUUCGGGUUGUAAACCUCUUUUAGUAGGGAAGAAGCGACUGGGUUUUCCUGGGAGUGACGGUACCUGCAGAAAAAGCACCGGCUAACUACGUGCCAGCAGCCGCGGUAAUACGUAGGGUGCAAGCGUUGUCCGGAAUUAUUGGGCGUAAAGAGCUCGUAGGCGGUUUGUCGCGUCUGCUGUGAAAACCCGAGGCUCAACCUCGGGCCUGCAGUGGGUACGGGCAGACUAGAGUGCGGUAGGGGAGAUUGGAAUUCCUGGUGUAGCGGUGGAAUGCGCAGAUAUCAGGAGGAACACCAAUGGCGAAGGCAGAUCUCUGGGCCGUAACUGACGCUGAGGAGCGAAAGCA
rnacentral:rRNA from 1 species